rnacentral:lncRNA from 1 species
UGAACAGUAUGUUUGAUAGAUUAUUUUAGUAAUUAACAAGCACGAGCUGAUUCGAAGAAAAUAAAUAUAAUCAAAUGUCUCACAUGCCAAGCAGCUGUGGAAAUUCAAGUGAAAUUUGGAAAUGAAAAUUUUGAUAGAAUUAAAAAAUAACUUUUGAAGAGAUCGUUAAUGCUCCAAUCCAAUUUGUUUGAGCUGUGUUGACUAUCUCAGAGCUCAAGAGAAUGAUUCCAAUUAUUUAUGAUAAUAUUAAAUAGUAGGAAGACUUGAAAUGGGUAUAAAGAUAUCACAUUGUAUUUGAAAUAAUACAGGGUACUACAGGGCAUAAAUUUUAGCUUGGAAGCAGGUCAAACAAAGUGGGAAGUAAAGAGUAAUAUCAAAUGAUGUUUAUUAACUUCCAGUAUUGACUGACGGAAAAAGCAACUAGUGUUGCAUCAUCUCUAUAUGGUUUUCUCCUUUUUCUUUACUAAAUGCAUCCUAUUUGAUAUUCCUAGGGUCAGCUUAAAGUGAUAUGCAGGACAUUACAAUACUAGGUCAGCAGAUAACC